UUCCGUAGGUGAACCUGCGGAAGGAUCAUUACCGAGUGAGGGCCCUCUGGGUCCAACCUCCCACCCGUGUUUAUUUUACCUUGUUGCUUCGGCGGGCCCGCCUUAACUGGCCGCCGGGGGGCUUACGCCCCCGGGCCCGCGCCCGCCGAAGACACCCUCGAACUCUGUCUGAAGAUUGUAGUCUGAGUGAAAAUAUAAAUUAUUUAAAACUUUCAACAACGGAUCUCUUGGUUCCGGCAUCGAUGAAGAACGCAGCGAAAUGCGAUACGUAAUGUGAAUUGCAAAUUCAGUGAAUCAUCGAGUCUUUGAACGCACAUUGCGCCCCCUGGUAUUCCGGGGGGCAUGCCUGUCCGAGCGUCAUUUCUGCCCUCAAGCACGGCUUGUGUGUUGGGCCCCGUCCUCCGAUCCCGGGGGACGGGCCCGAAAGGCAGCGGCGGCACCGCGUCCGGUCCUCGAGCGUAUGGGGCUUUGUCACCCGCUCUGUAGGCCCGGCCGGCGCUUGCCGAUCAACCCAAAUUUUUAUCCAGGUUGACCUCGGAUCAGGUAGGGAUGCCCGCUGAACUUAAGCAUAUCAAUAAGCGGAGGAAA
rnacentral:rRNA from 1 species